rnacentral:rRNA from 1 species
GAUGAACGCUGGCGGCGUGCCUAAUACAUGCAAGUCGAGCGAACGGACGAGAAGCUUGCUUCUCUGAUGUUAGCGGCGGACGGGUGAGUAACACGUGGAUAACCUACCUAUAAGACUGGGAUAACUUCGGGAAACCGGAGCUAAUUCCGGAUAAUAUUUUGAACCGCAUGGUUCAAAAGUGAAAGACGGUCUUGCUGUCACUUAUAGAUGGAUCCGCGCUGCAUUAGCUAGUUGGUAAGGUAACGGCUUAUCAAGGCAACGAUGCAUAGCCGACCUGAGAGGGUGAUCGGCCACACUGGAACUGAGACACGGUCCAGACUCCUACGGGAGGCAGCAGUAGGGAAUCUUCCGCAAUGGGCGAAAGCCUGACGGAGCAACGCCGCGUGAGUGAUGAAGGUCUUCGGAUCGUAAAACUCUGUUAUUAGGGAAGAACAUAUGUGUAAGUAACGGUGCACAUCUUGACGGUACCUAAUCAGAAAGCCACGGCUAACUACGU